AACCUGUUAUGGCCAUUGUUUAUUGUAAAUGAGUUUGCUUGUAAACGUUUUAAUUCCACAUUCUGCUGCUUUUUUGCGCCUGGUGAAGUUGUGAAUCGCGAGCUCAUUAGCGAGGCUAUUAUUGGUCAUCUGGGCUCCUGUGGGUAACGUUAGCAUCCUGGUUAGC